rnacentral:rRNA from 1 species
UACGUAGGGGGCAAGCGUUGUCCGGAAUCAUUGGGCGUAAAGCGCGUGUAGGCGGCCAGAAAAGUCCGCUGUGAAAACUCGAGGCUCAACUUCGAGCUGUCGGUGGAAACUUUCUGGCUAGAGUCCGGAAGAGGAGAAUGGAAUUCCUGGUGUAGCGGUGAAAUGCGCAGAUAUCAGGAGGAACACCGGUGGCGAAGGCGGGUCUCUGGGCCGAUACUGACGCUGAGGAGCGAAAGCAUGGGUAGCGAACAGG